UUCCGGUUGAUCCUGCCGGAGGUUACUGCUAUCGAGGUUCGACUAAGCCAUGCGAGUCGAAUGUAGCAAUACAUGGCGAACUGCUCAGUAACACGUGGACAACCUGCCCUUAGGUUGGGUAUAAACCCGGGAAACUGGGUAUAAUACCCGAUAGGUCUCGAUUGCUGGAAUGCAUCGAGAUUUAAAGCUCCGGCGCCUAAGGAUGGGUCUGCGGCCUAUCAGGUAGUAGUGGGUGUAGCGUACCUACUAGCCUACGACGGGUACGGGUUGUGAGAGCAAGAGCCCGGAGAUGGAUUCUGAGACACGAAUCCAGGCCCUACGGGGUGCAGCAGGCGCGAAAACUUUACAAUGCUGGCAACAGCGAUAAGGGAACCUCGAGUGCCAGGUUACAAAUCUGGCUGUCGAGAUGCCUAAAAAGCAUUUCAUAGCAAGGGCCGGGCAAGACCGGUGCCAGCCGCCGCGGUAACACCGGCGGCUCGAGUGGUAACCGUUAUUAUUGGGUCUAAAGGGUCUGUAGCCGGCCGGAUAAGUCUCUUGAGAAAUCUGGCAGCUUAACUGUCAGGCUUUCAGGAGAUACUGUCUGGCUCGAGGCCGGGAGAGGUGAGAGGUACUUCAGGGGUAGGGGUGAAAUCUUGUAAUCCUUGAAGGACCACCAGUGGCGAAGGCGUCUCACCAGAACGGACCUGACGGCAAGGGACGAAAGCUAGGGGCACGAACCGGAUUAGAUACCCGGGUAGUCCUAGCCGUAAACGAUACUCGCUAGGUGUCGGCCACGGUGCGACCGUUGUCGGUGCCGUAGGGAAGCCGUGAAGCGAGCC
rnacentral:rRNA from 1 species